AGAGUUUGAUCCUGGCUCAGAAUGAACGCUGGCGGCGUGCCUAACACAUGCAAGUCGAACGAGAAAUUUCCGCUUCGGUGGAAAGAGUAAAGUGGCGCACGGGUGAGUAACGCGUGGGUAACCUGCCUUUGAAUCUAGGAUAACCCCGUGAAAACGGGACUAAUACUGGAUAAUGUCCCUUUGGCUGUGGCCUUAGGGAUGAAAGGUGACCUCUUCAUGAAAGUUGCCGUUCAAAGAGGGGCCCGCGUACCAUUAGCUUGUUGGUGGGGUAACGGCCUACCAAGGCUACGAUGGUUAGCUGGUCUGAGAGGAUGAUCAGCCACACUGGAACUGGAACACGGUCCAGACUCCUACGGGAGGCAGCAGUGAGGAAUUUUGCGCAAUGGGGGAAACCCUGACGCAGCAACGCCGCGUGAGUGAUGAAGAUUUUCGGAUCGUAAAGCUCUGUCAAGCGGGAAAAAACACUUUCGGUCAAUAGCCGGAGGGAUUGAUGGUACCGCUGGAGGAAGCACCGGCUAACUCCGUGCCAGCAGCCGCGGUAAUACGGAGGGUGCAAGCGUUGUUCGGAUUUACUGGGCGUAAAGAGCGUGUAGGUGGUUUAACAAGUCAGAUGUGAAAGCCCUUGGCUCAAC
rnacentral:rRNA from 1 species